GGAAUUUUCCGCAAUGGGCGAAAGCCUGACGGAGCAAUACCGCGUGAGGGAUGAAGGCCUCUGGGCUGUAAACCUCUUUUAUCAAGGAAGAAGAUCUGACGGUACUUGAUGAAUAAGCCACGGCUAAUUCCGUGCCAGCAGCCGCGGUAAUACGGGAGUGGCAAGCGUUAUCCGGAAUUAUUGGGCGUAAAGCGUCCGCAGGCGGCCCUUCAAGUCUGCUGUUAAAAAGUGGAGCUUAACCCCAUCAUGGCAGUGGAAACUGUUGGGCUUGAGUGUGGUAGGGGCAGAGGGGAUUCCCGGUGUAGCGGUGGAAUGCGUAGAUAUCGGGAAGAACACCAGUGGCGAAGGCGCUCUGCUGGGCCAUCACUGACGCUCAUGGACGAAAGCCAGGGGAGCGAAAGGGAUUAGAUACCCCUGUAGUC
rnacentral:rRNA from 1 species